CCUGGCGCUGCGGCCCGCGGUGAGGUGAGGGGAAGGACCUUGAGCCGGCUCCCCGCCGCCUCGGAGGGAGGGAGAAGAAGCGAGGGCACGGCCGUGUGUCUGUAGCGAUUUGACAUGAAGGUUAGAAAGAGGGACACUUGAACUCUCAGCUCCCAAGAUUGGAAGGAGGGGGAGAGGAGGGGAGGGAAGGACGGGAGCCAACCGCAGAACAACAAACCAAAACCAACCAACAAGCAAAAAUCUCUGCCUGCCUGUAAUACUUUACAUAGAUGUAAAUUACUGGUAUUCUUACGUUAAUGAAUAAUUACGUGCAAGAAGUAAAUACAGCUUUGAAAAUACUACUUUAAA